rnacentral:ncRNA from 1 species
UAAAAAUUUAUGAUUUUAUAAUUUUAUUUUUAAUUUAUUUUGCAUGUAAAUUUUAGUAUGAAUUUUUCAUUAUUUUAAUAAUAUAAUUUAUUUUACAGUAAUUAAUAUUAAAAAUUUAAGAAAUUAAGAUUUAGUAAUAUUAAUAUUAUUAACAAAUUUUGUGCCAGCAGUUGCGGUUAUACAAAAAUUAAAAUAAAAUUUUUUCAGUUAUAAUUAACAUAAUAUAUAUAUAUAUAUAUAUAAAUUUAUAUUAAAUUAAAUUUUAAAUUAUUAAGUGAAAUUUUAAUUUAAUUAAAAUUUAAUUAUUAUAUGUGAUUUAAUAAAUUUUUUAAGAGACUAGGAUUAGAUACCCUAUUAUUAAAAAUUUAAAUUAAAAUACUAAAAUAGUAAAUAAAUUAUUAUUGAAACUUAAAUAAUUUGGCGGUAUUUUAGUUCAUUUAGAGGAAUCUGUUUAUUAAUUGAUAAUCCACGAAUAAAUUUACUUAAUUUAAUAUUUUGUAUAUCGUUGUUAAAAAAAUAUUUUUAAAUAAUAAUAAUAUUUUAAAAUUAAAAUAAAAAAUUAAUUCAGAUCAAGAUGCAGAUUAUAAUUAAGAAUAUAAUGGGUUACAAUAAAAUUAUUUAAAUGGAUAUUAUUUUGUAAUAUUUAAUUAAAGGUGGAUUUAAAUGUAAUUUUAUUUAGUUUAUUAAAAUGAUUAAAAAUUAAAAUAUGUACAUAUUGCCCGUCACUUUCAUUUAAAAAUUGGAAUAAGUCGUAACAAAGUAGAGGUACUGGAAAGUGUUUCUAGAAAGAC